rnacentral:rRNA from 1 species
UACGAGUGCCUCGAGCGUUAUCCGGAAUCAUUGGGCGUAAAGGGUGUGUAGGCGGUUUUGUUAGUCCUGUGUUAAAUCCUUCGGCUCAACCGAGGGGCUGCAUGGGAAACGGCAAGGCUGGAGGACGGUAGGGGUCAUUGGAACUCAUGGCGUAGCGGUGAAAUGCGUUGAUAUCAUGGGGAACACCGAAAGCGAAGGCAAAUGACUGGACCGCUCCUGACGCUGAGGAGCGAAAGCGUGGGGAGCGAACAGG